rnacentral:rRNA from 1 species
UACGUAGGCAGCAAGCGUUGUUCGGAAUUACUGGGCGUAAAGAGUGUGUAGGCGGUGUUCUAAGUCUGUUGUGAAAUCUCCCGGCUUAACUGGGAGGGUGCGGCGGAAACUGGAAUGCUAGAGGAUGGGAGAGGUAAGCGGAAUUCCUGGUGUAGCGGUGAAAUGCGUAGAUAUCAGGAGGAACACCUGUGGUGUAGACAGCUUACUGGACCAUUUCUGACGCUGGGACACGAAAGCGUGGGUAGCAAACAGG